CCUACGGGUGGCAGCAGUGAGGAAUAUUGGUCAAUGGGCGCGAGCCUGAACCAGCCAAGUAGCGUGAAGGAUGACGGCCCUACGGGUUGUAAACUUCUUUUAUAAAGGAAUAAAGUGAGGCACGUGUGCCUUUAUGUAUGUACUUUAUGAAUAAGGAUCGGCUAACUCCGUGCCAGCAGCCGCGGUAAUACGGAGGAUCCGAGCGUUAUCCGGCUUUAUUGGGUUUAACGGGAGCGUAGAUGGGUUGUUAAGUCAGUUGUGAAAGUUUGCGGCUCAACCGUAAAAUUGCAAUUGAUACUGGCAGUCUUGAGUACAGUUGAGGUAGGCGGAAUUCGUGGUGUAGCGGUGAAAUGCUUAGAUAUCACGAAGAACUCCGAUUGCGAAGGCAGCUUACUAAACUGCCACUGACAUUGAUGCUCGAAAGUGUGGGUAUCAAACAGGAUUAGAUACCCCGGUAGUC
rnacentral:rRNA from 1 species